GUCGAGAGGCUUCGGCAAUGGGGGAAACCCUGACCGAGCGACGCCGCGUGAGGGAUGAAGCUCUUCGGGGUGUAAACCUCUUUUCUGGGGGAAGAAACUCAUGGGUUCGAAUAGGGCCCAUGCCUGACGGUACCCUAGGAAUAAGCUCCGGCUAACUCCGUGCCAGCAGCCGCGGUAAUACGGGGGGAGCAAACGUUGUUCGGAAUCACUGGGCGUAAAGGGCGCGUAGGCGGCUCGGCAAGUGGUGUGUGAAAUGCCCUGGCUCAACCAGGGAACUGCGCUCCAAACUGCCGAGCUUGAGGGCAGUAGAGGAAGCUGGAAUUCCAGGUGUAGCGGUGAAAUGCGUAGAUAUCUGGAGGAACACCGUUGGCGAAGGCGGGCUUCUGGGCUGACCCUGACGCUGAGGCGCGAAAGCUGGGGGAGCGAACAGGAUUAGAUACCCCGGUAGUCC
rnacentral:rRNA from 1 species